UCUAUGGAGAGUUUGAUCCUGGCUCAGGACGAACGCUGGCGGCGUGCUUAACACAUGCAAGUCGAGCGAUGAAGCACCUUCGGGUGUGAAUUAGCGGCGAACGGGUGAGGAACACGUGAGAAAUCUGCCUUCAACUCUGGGAUAACUCCGUGAAAACGGGGCUAAUACCGGAUAUGAGAUCUACAGGCAUCUGUGGAUCUGGAAAGUUUUUCGGUUGAAGAUGAUCUCGCGGCCUAUCAGCUUGUUGGUGAGGUAAUGGCUCACCAAGGCGACGACGGGUAGCCGGCCUGAGAGGGCGACCGGCCACACUGGGACUGAGACACGGCCCAGACUCCUACGG
rnacentral:rRNA from 1 species